GAUGAACGCUGGCGGCGUGCUUAACACAUGCAAGUCGAACGGAAAGGCUCCUGCUUGCAGGGGUACUCGAGUGGCGAACGGGUGAGUAACACGUGGGUGAUCUGCCCUGCACUUCGGGAUAAGCCUUGGAAACUGGGUCUAAUACCGGAUAGGACGAUGGUUUGGAUGCCAUUGUGGAAAGUUUUUCGGUGUGGGAUGAGCUCGCGGCCUAUCAGCUUGUUGGUGGGGUAAUGGCCUACCAAGGCGUCGACGGGUAGCCGGCCUGAGAGGGUGUACGGCCACAUUGGGACUGAGAUACGGCCCAGACUCGUACGGGAGGCAGCAGGGGGGAAUAUUGCACAAUGGGCGCAAGCCUGAUGCAGCGACGCCGGGUGGGGGAUGACGGCCUUCGGGUUGUAAACGCCUUUCGCUAGGGACGAAGCGCAAGUGACGGUACCUGGAGAAGAAGCACCGGCUAACUACGUG
rnacentral:rRNA from 1 species